GAUGAACGCUAGCGGCAGGCCUAAUACAUGCAAGCCGGACGGCAAGUUGAGUAGCAAUACUUGACCUAGAGUGGCGUAAGGGUGCGUAACACGUAUGCAAUCUGCCCCACAGCCGGGAGAUAGCCCUCCGAAAGGAGGAUUAAUAUCCCAUAGGAAGAUGAGAUGGCAUCAUUUUAUUUUUAAACUACGGGGCUGUGGAUGAGCAUGCGGUUGAUUAGCUAGUUGGCGGGGUAAAGGCCCACCAAGGCGAUGAUCAAUAGGGGACCUGAGAGGGUGAUCCCCCACACUGGCACUGAGAUACGGGCCAGACUCCUACGGAGGCAGUAGU
rnacentral:rRNA from 1 species